rnacentral:lncRNA from 1 species
UGCUUAAUGAUGACUGAACCACACAGGCAACUCUGUCCUUCAAGCUGGCUAUUACUCCCUUGGGGCCUCUCUGCCCUGGGCAGUCACCCCAGGGUGUGCAAGGCUGACUCUUCCAAGGGGUGCUCAGCAUCCCCCUUCUUUAACCAGACCCUCUAUCAUUUACUGGAUUGAAAACUAUACACAUUUAUUCCACUUAUCUGUUUACUUAUAGAGUAUCUACCUAGAAUAUUAGGUCCAUUGUGAAAAAGGGGUUUGAAAGAAGGGAGCUAUGAAACUAGUUUCGAAUUAAGAAGCUCUAUCCUUUAUGUGUUUUAACUUCUAGAACAAAUCCAAAGCUUCAGUAUUUUACACUGUUAUUCUUAAUGUGUGGUAUAAAAUAAUAUCACAAAACCCAUUUAAAAAUACUAACGAGAAGUAAAAAUGCAUGGAAUUUACAGACAUUUUAUGCAUGUAUUUAUUCAUGCCAUAUAGGCGUACCAAAUCCCUGUUAUUUUCUGGUCCCAGAAUCCAGCCACUCCCUUCUUACUUCUGUGAGAUGUGACUAGACUCCCCCUGACCAACUUCAGCCAGGCUCCCCUAGCCUUCUUCUCCACAAGCCCUUGACUUUGGGCUUCUGUAAUUAUUCUUGCAGAGUCCAAAGCUUGCAAGAAUCCUGCUUCUACAUCAGUUUCAAGAAAACCCACCUCCCAUCCUUGAUAUCUAAUCAACCUUGAUAUUGGAUCAAAUUUCUGACACCCACCCGCCAACCCCACAAUCCUCAGGUGAGAGCCGAUCACCCCUGCCUGCCUUCGACAAGAAUCCUAUUAGGUAGGUCAUCUAAAUUUCCCUCAUUUUUGCCUCCGAGUAACUGUCUAUCCAUCAACACCCCACCCCCCGCGUGCUCCUUGGCUACAAAUCCCCACUGUUCCUGUUCUAUUUGGAGCUGGGCCUGAUUUGUUGCCCCUACUGCGAUAGUUUGACACCUAUCUCAACAGUCCUGAAUAAAGAGGGCCUUACUGUCUUAACAAGUGUCCACAGAUUUUUCCUUUAACAGAUGAUAAAGUUACACGUAAAAACCCUGAUAUAUAAAGAUCUCUUUUAAAAACAUAAUCCUUUUUAGUGUUUCAGUGAACUGAUAAUAUGCGCUUUUUAACAUUGCACAUACAGUUAUACUGAAGAUCGAUUCUUUGAAAAUCUGCGUCAGGAAAAUUUAGACCAAAAGAAGUCAACACAUUCCACUUGGCUCAGAGGUGGAGGAGCUAGAGUGCUUUUUCUCCCCUUUGUGUCUUUGUGCCUCUGUGUUUUCACGAUUCUAGAAUUCCUGGCAUGAAAAGCCAAUCACCAUGUGUAUUCUUUGGGCCCGGGUAUGCUGCAAAACACUAAGUUGAAAACACUUUUCUUUUGAAUGAAUGUGGCCUAGCUAAUGGUCCUGUGUGGACAUGAGUGUUAUGUCCAGGAAGGAAGUGGUACCUCUGACCCAGAACAAUAGGUUGGCUAAGAGCCACUGAGCCCUUUCUUGGAGAUAGAGCUCUGCUUUCCUAAAUUUUUAUAGGUAAAGGCCUCAUGGAUAGAUAUAAUGAGGGUCCUGACAGUUGCUUCUAUUUUUAAAAAAAAUCUAACAAACAUCAAAAAUUUUUAUAUUUUAAUAUUUAUUCAUAUUUUGUUUUAUUUUUUUCCUAAAGCAAGCACUAUUUUCCAAAUAAAGUUUUGAUAUAGUUGCUAAAAAAGACUGCCCAACACCAGAUUAAAAAAAAAAAAAACUGUAUUGUUUCUCCUCCAUUCUCAAUGGGUCAUGUGGGUAAUAAGCCAGAAAGUAGCUAUUUUCCCUAAAAAAGGAGAGAGUCGGUCCACCUUCACCUAAUACUGAAGGGAUUCCUGGAUCUAGAAAUCACUGUUCCUUGCCAUGUGUACAUGAAUUUCCUACAGUUUAACUUUUAAAACAACAAUACAUCAAAGUGUCUCCUUAUGAUCACCUUCAUCCCGUCAUCUUAAAAUUCUGCAUAUACAUGAAACAAUAUUUUCCUUUUUUGUAUAGAAAACCUACACUGAUCUCAUGGUGUCCACAGUUGAAUACACAGCUCUGAAUAUCUAGCCAUGAUGCUUGAAUCACUAAGGCUUUAAUAAAAAUAGUGAGUCCUGGUAGAUAAAUUCGCAGAACAUUUUAACAGUGUGAUUUCUUUUGUGUCAUUAGUUGUAAAAUCGCCUCCAAGUGUUAUUAAAUGUUUUAGAAAGUUGCAAAAUGCUCUAGGUUUAAUGACUUAGGCAAAAAUCAAGAUCCACUUUCAUAGUAACCUAUCUUGCCAUCAUUUUUCAUAAGCACUUACUGAAUCUACUUAAUUUUAACUCACUGGAAAAGGAUCAGCAGAGUUUCUGUCUGUCUCUUCUGUCUCACAGCAUUUUUCCAGACCAUGUGUUUUAGAGCAACCUGUAGGAGGCUAAAGCCCUCACAAUCAUUUUUCAGUUGUGUUAACAAUUUGUAUGGUGCAUCCUGAAUGAUUUCCUCCUAGUGGAACUGUUACAAGUUAACCUGAAAAAUACCCAAGUUGUAGUUUCUGUCCUUUAAAAAAUAAUACAGUGUACACUGUCUUCUGUGCUGCAGAAAGCCGUCCUUCUGCCAUAUUCUAAUCGGUUCAUCUUCUUGAAAGUGAGCUGUCUACUUCCCCACAGAGCUUUCCUUGAUACACACAUUUCAGCAGGAAACAGCUACUCUCUCGGGGCAGAUCAUCGUGUCUUCAAAAACUAGGAAAGAAUGAGAAGUGCGAGGCAGUUUGGGACCAUUCACUGUGCAGACACCUACAAAUGUUUGCAAAAAGGAGCUCAGUUGGAGUUCUCCCUAUGGAAGCGCAUAGAACAUAGGGCAGCCUAAAUCAUGAUGGCGUGUGGAAGAUAAAGACAUUUCACCUCAUGAACAAACCCUAAUUUUUAAUUAGUGCACCUAAGAGUGAUGAGUAGCCAUCAACAAAGGGCCCGUCGGAGUUGUGGUUCUUCGUUCAUUCUGCGCUUUGCUAAAGCUUGUGUAUAUUGAAGGAAAGGAGAGCAAUAUAUUAAAAAAACAAACGAAACACAAAAAACACUUUUUCAAACUUUUAAAAAAUGAAGUGGUACUAUUUCUUCCCAACAUCCAAGGGCCUUCAACACAGAAAAUACACAGCUAACUUUCCAAGCUUAAGGAAAAAUUUAAAUAAUGUGAGCUAUUUUGCUAUUCCCUUUCUCAGAACUUAGAUCUUAUUUUUUUGUCUUUGUGUGGGAGAGCUUCUUUGGUGGGAAUCUGGCUUUUUAUCACUUUGUAUGAAUUUGCUCUUGCAUUUCAAUUCUUGUAACUCUUAAUUGUGACUUUGUUUGCCAUUUGCUUUAAUCCCUAUUUAACCCAGGAAAAAGCCCGAGAGAAAACCUCCUGUUAUGCAAGUCCUAGAACUUAAACUAACUUAAUAAGAUAUUUGUCUUAAGGACUGGUUUUCAAGGUUGAAGAGGCAGUCUUUCCUUUGCUUGCUUACACGAUUUGCAAUGCUUGGGUUUAAUUAAGUGACAGAAUAAAUUGACCACGGCCAUCAGGAAGUGUUUUGAUCCAGAUUAUUGGAAUGGAAAUUUUACUUUGCUUUCCCAGUAAGUUAGAAGCCAGAAUCUUUCACCAUUAGAUCUGACAACAGGAAUUUACUCCCUGUCCCCUGAUAGAGCUUGUAAGGAGCAACAGGCCAGGGUGUAUGCGACCAGAGGUUAUAACAUUCUGAUUCAUUAUGCCGUAGUCAUGAAUCUGCCCUGUUAGAGACAAGCUCCAUCCAUCCAUUUAGCUGUCAUUCCGACCAUGAAUGUAAUGCUAUUAUUGUGAGGGCCAAGUCCACUGCUCAUGCCAGAUGUUGUUAGGAAUUCAAUCCAUCCUACAUAUGAACACUGGCUCCUUCAAACAACAAGAUGUUGAGUGAAUUACAUAUCAAGUUGUGAGUUUUCUUGGCAUUUAAUUAUCCAGCUCAAAGAAACAUACUCCCUAAUUGUUCUUGAGGUUACUGCUCAGCACAUAAGAAAAAGGGAUUUUGUGAAGGAAUGGUAUGAUAUUGGCAGCUGUGAAAACAUUGCCAGUUAUUGUAACGUCUCUUUUUUGGUUGCUUUUAUUUAUUUGUUUUGCUUAUUCCUAAUUCCUGUAUGUCAGGAGAAAUUAGCCAUCUUUCAGAUGUGAUACCACUGUUGGAUAACAUUUUAGGGAGAAAGGUCACUCAUGAAUUAUAUGACAAUCCUUGCACACAUAUUAAUAAUAUAUAUUACAACAUGACUGCAAAGAUAGAAGGUAACUUUUUUUAAUUUGAGUAAUCACAGCUAGAAGUGGUUCUCCUGGCUCAUGGUCUAUCUCAGAACGUACCAGGAAUUAAUUUUUCCCUCUCAAAAGUUAUCGGUGAAGAAAGGACUGCAUGGUUACUGUUUUUCUAUUGUUCAGAUGUUUCUCACUUUCAUAUAGGAAAUGGGCAGCUGGAAGGACUACAUGCUUUUAUGACUUGACCUGUUCUAGCUGAUCUUCGGGAACAAUUCAGCUUCCUGAGCUAAGGAUAAUGAGUUCCUCCAGUCUGUUCCUAGGUUUCCUCUUCAGCUCGACUGACAGCUCCACACUCCGUCCACUUGAGGUGCCAGUUUCUCAGCAUCCUGUGCUGACCUCUUCCCCCUCCUUAGACACUACAUGUCUCAGCUGCUGCUGACAUGUCCCCUUUGGAUGCCUCCCUCCUGUGUCUCUUGCCACUGACGUCCCAACAUCUCACAUCUCAAGUUUUCACAAGGUUUUUCCUUCCUUUUUUUAUUGAAAUAUAAUUGACACACAGUAUUGUAUGAGUUUUAGGUUUACGAUAUAAUGACUUGAUAUUUGUAUACACUGCAUAUGUUGUGACAUCAUCACAAUUAAGUCUAUCAGCACACAGAAUUUUUUUCUCAUGAUAAUAACUUUUAAGGUCUAUUUUCGUAGCAUCUUUCAAAUACAUAACACCGUAUUAGUAACUCUAAUCACCGAUCUACACAUCACAGCCUGCGCACCUAUUUAUCUUACAUUAGACUUUGUACCUUUUGACCACUUCACCCAUUUUGCCCACUUCCCACCCCUUGCUUCUGGCAACUACCAACCUGUUCUCUGUAUCUAUGAGUUUUGCUUUUUUUAAGAUCCCACAUAUAAGUGAGAUCCUAUAGCGUGUAUCUUCUCUGUCUGACUUAUUUCUCUUACCAUAAUGUCCUCAAGGUCCAUCCAUGUGGUGGCAGAAGGCAGGAUUUCCUCCUUUUUUAAUGGCUCAACAAUAGUCCAUGGUAUAUUAUUUUUAUAUAAUAAUAAUUAUCAUCAUUAUUUUAUCAAAUAUGUCAUAACUUCUUUAUCCAUUCAUCCAUGAAUGAAUAUUCAGGUUGUUUUCAUAUCUUGGCUUCUGUAAAUAAUGCUGCAAUGAACAGGGUUGUGGAUAUCUUUUUGAGAGAGUCAUUUCAUUUCCUUUAAAUAAAUAGCCAGAAGUGGAAUUGCUGGAUCAUAUGAUAGUUCUAGUUUUAAUUUUUUUGAGGAACCUCCAUACUGUUUUCCACGGUGAUUGCACCAAUUUACCUUCCCACCAACAGUGCACAAGGGUUCCCUUUUCUCUACAUCCUUUCCAACACUUGCUAGUUUUUAUAUUUUUUAUAAUAACCAUUCUAACAAGUGAGAGGUGAUAUCUCAUGAUGGUUUUAAUUUGCAUUUCCCUGAUAUUCAAUAAUGUUGAGUACAUUUUCAUUUAACUAUUGGUAUUUCUUCUUUGGAAAAAUGUCUAUUCAGUUCCUCUGGUCAUUUUUUUUGAUGAAAUUGUUUAUUUUCUAUUGAGUUGUAAGAGUUCUUUUUUAUAUCUUGGAUAUUAGCCCUUUAUCAGCUACAUGAUUUCCAGAUAUUUUCCCCAGUCUAUAGGUUUCUUUUUUUCAUUUUGUAGAUGAUUUCAAAACAUUUUAAAAAAAUAAACCUGUAGCUCUUUUUAGAAAGGAUUACAAAACCCCAAAAUUGUAACUAAUUCAUAGGAGCUUGCUUGAGUCAUCCACGUAACAAUUAACGAACAUUCCAGUUCAUUUAAAAAAUGAUACCAUCUAGGAAUACCUGUUGUGGCUCAGUGGAAACAAACCCAACUAGUAUCCAUGAGGGUGCAGGCAUGAUUCCUGGCCCCGAUCAGUGGGUUAAGGAUCCAGCAUUGUGGCUCCAAGGCAUUGCUGUGGCUGUAGUGUAGCCUGGCAGCUGUAGCUCCGAUUUGAUCCCUAGCCUGGGAACUUCCAUAUGUGGU